rnacentral:rRNA from 1 species
AUUGAACGCUGGCGGCAGGCCUAACACAUGCAAGUCGAGCGGCAGCGGGAAAGUAGCUUGCUACUUUUGCCGGCGAGCGGCGGACGGGUGAGUAAUGCCUGGGAAAUUGCCCAGUCGAGGGGGAUAACAGUUGGAAACGACUGCUAAUACCGCAUACGCCCUACGGGGGAAAGCAGGGGACCUUCGGGCCUUGCGCGAUUGGAUAUGCCCAGGUGGGAUUAGCUAGUUGGUGAGGUAAAGGCUCACCAAGGCUACGAUCCCUAGCUGGUCUGAGAGGAUGAUCAGCCAAGCUGGAACUGAGACACGGUCCAGACUCCUACGGGAGGCAGCAGUGGGGAAUAUUGCACAAUGGGGGAAACCCUGAUGCAGCCAUGCCGCGUGUGUGAAGAAGGCCUUCGGGUUGUAAAGCACUUUCAGCGAGGAGGAAAGGUUGAUGCCUAAUACGUAUCAACUGUGACGUUACUCGCAGAAGAAGCACCGGCUAACUCCGUGCCAGCCGCCGCAGUAAAAC